rnacentral:rRNA from 1 species
CCUACGGGAGGCAGCAGUGAGGAAUAUUGGUCAAUGGGCGAGAGCCUGAACCAGCCAAGUCGCGUGAGGGAAGAAGGAUCUCUGCUUUGUAAACUUCUUUUAUAUGGGAAUAAAGUGAGGAACGUGUUCCAUUUUGUACGUCCCACAUGAAUAAGCCUCGGCUAACUCCGUGCAAGCAGCCGCGGUAAUACGGAGGAUGCGAGCGUUAUCCGGAUUUAUUGGGUUUAAAGGGUGCGUAGGUGGUAAAUUAAGUCAGCGGUGAAAGCUUGUGGCUCAACCCUAGGAUUGCCGUUGAAACUGGUUGGCUUGAGUAUAUUAGAGGUAGGCGGAAUGCGUGGUGUAGCGGUGAAAUGCAUAGAUAUCACGCAGAACUCCGAUUGCGAAGGCAGCAUACUGGACUAUGACUGACGCUGAGGCACGAAAGCGUGGGGAUCGAACAGGAUUAGAUACCCGAGUAGUC